rnacentral:rRNA from 1 species
CCUGGGCGCAAGCCUUGAUGCCAGCCAUGCCGCGUGAGUGAUGAAGGCCAUAGGGUUGUAAAGCUCUUUCACCUGUGAAGAUAAUGACGGUAACAGGUAAAGAAACCCCGGCUAACUCCGUGCCAGCAGCCGCGGUAAUACNNAGGGGGCUAGCGUUGUUCGGAAUUACUGGGCGUAAAGCGCACGUAGGCGGACUUUUAAGUCAGGGGUGAAAUCCCGGGGCUCAACCCCGGAACUGCCUUUGAUACUGGUAGUCUUGAGUUUGNUAGAGGUGAGUGGAAUUCCGAGUGUAGAGGUGAAAUUCGUAGAUAUUCGGAGGAACACCAGUGGCGAAGGCGGCUUACUGGCUCNAUACUGACGCUGAGGUGCGAAAGNGUGGGGAGCAAACAGGAUUAGAUACCCUGGUAGUCCACACCGUAAACGAUGAAUG